rnacentral:rRNA from 1 species
GAUGAAUGCUGGCGGCGUGCCUAAUACAUGCAAGUCGAGCGGUAAGGCCCUUCGGGUACACGAGCGGCGGACGGCUGAGUAACGCGUGGGAACAUGCCCCAAAGUGAGGGAUAACGCACCGAAAGGUGUGCUAAUACCGCAUAUGGUCUUCGGAUUAAAGGAUUUAUCCGCUUUGGGAGUGGCCCGCGUACGAUUAGAUUGUUGGUGAGGUAACGGCUCACCAAGUCGACGAUCGUUAACUGGUCUGAGAGGAUGAUCAGUCAGACUGGAACUGAGACACGGUCCAGACUCCUACGGGAGGCAGCAGUAAGGAAUCUUCCACAAUGGGCGAAAGCCUGAUGGAGCAACGCCGCGUGCAGGAUGAAGGCCCUCGGUCGUAAACUGCUUUUAUGAGUGAAGAAUAUGACGGUAACUCAUGAAUAAGCACCGG